rnacentral:lncRNA from 1 species
CCAGAAACUCUUCAUAGUUGUCUUGGCUGUUAGGCAUCACAACAAACCAAACCCUCCUGUUGCUCCCACAACUCCCCCUAGCACCAGCCCUACCUCCCCAUCCCCCAAAUCUCCAUCUCCUCAGUACCCUCAUCACCCUCCUGGGACCUCACCAUCACCAGCAUCAGUGGCUAACCCUCCAGCCACCUCACCAUCACCAGUAGUGGCUAGCCCUCCUGCCACCUCCCCAUCACCAGUGGGCUACCCUCCUGCCACCUCCCCAUCGCCAGUGGGCUACCCUCCUGCCACCUCACCAUCACCAGUGGGCUACCCUCCUGCCACCUCACCAUCACCAGUGGGAUACACUCCUGCCACCUCACCAUCCCCAUCAACAACAACAUCUCCAGCGCUAGCGCCAGGUCCAUCUUCAUCCCUUACACCAUUUCCUUCUCCACCCUCACCGCCCCCCGAGGGGCCCACACCGCCCUCCGAGGGGCCCACACCGGCCCCGUCCGCAGAGUCUGCGGGCCCCACACCACCGGGAACCGUUUCUCCGCCGCCCGGGACAGCGGACUCGACGGCUCCGAGACCGGCGGGGAGUGGAGCGUCGCAUAGUGUAACGGCUCCUUCGAGCGUGCUGGUGUCU